rnacentral:misc_RNA from 1 species
GAUGAAGAACGCAGCGAAAUGCGAUAAGUAAUGUGAAUUGCAGAAUUCAGUGAAUCAUCGAAUCUUUGAACGCACAUUGCGCCCGCCAGUAUUCUGGCGGGCAUGCCUGUUCGAGCGUCAUUACAACCCUCAGGCCCCCGGGCCUGGCGUUGGGGAUCGGCGGAGCCCCCCGUGGGCACACGCCGUCCCCCAAAUACAGUGGCGGUCCCGCCGCAGCUUCCAUCGCGUAGUAGCUAACACCUCGCGACUGGAGAGCGGCGCGGCCACGUCGUAAAACACCCAACUCUUCUGAAGUUGACCUCGAAUCAGGUAGGAAUACCCGCUGAACUUAAGCAUAUCAAUAAGCGGAGGA